GGCCCAGAUCGUUUACCGUGAAAAAAUUAGAGUGUUCAAAGCAGGCAGAUCCAAUUUUCUGCCACCGAAUACAUUAGCAUGGGAUAAUGGAAUAGGACCCUGUCCUCCUAUUUUCAGUUGGUUUUGGCAGCGCGAGGACUAGGGUAAUGAUUAAUAGGGAUAGUUGGGGGCAUUAAUAUUUAAUUGUCAGAGGUGAAAUUCUUGGAUUUAUGAAAGAUUAACUUCUGCGAAAGCAUCUGCCAAGGAUGUUUUCAUUAAUCAAGAACGAAAGUUAGGGGAUCGAAGACGAUCAGAUACCGUCGUAGUCUUAACCAUAAACGAUGCCGACCAGCGAUUAGGAGACGUUGAAUACAAAACACCACCAUCGGCGCGGUCGUCCUUGGCGUCGGUCUUUCGGGGCCGGCGCGGGGGCGGCUUAGCCCGGUGGCACCGGUGAAUGACUCCCUAGCAGCUUGUGAGAAAGGAAGAAUUCCCGUACGACCAAUCAA
rnacentral:rRNA from 1 species